rnacentral:lncRNA from 1 species
CACAAAUCAAGUCUCAACACAUUUUGUUUUUUGUUGAAAGAGAUCAAAAUCAAGGCCUCGAACAUGCUAACCAGGCACUCUACCACUGACCUACAUCCCCAGCUCUUUAAGUUUUUAUUUUGGGACAGGGUCUCAAUAAAUUACCCAGGCUGACCUUGAACUUUUUUUUUUUAAGAGAGAGAGAGAAUUUUAAUAUUUAUUUUUUAGUUAUCGGUGGACACAACAUCUUUGUUUGUAUGUGGUGCUGAGGAUGGAACCUGGGCCACACGCAUGCCAGGCGAGCGCACUACUGCUUUAGCCACAUCCCCAGCCCUGGCCUUGAACUUUUGAUCCUCCUGCCUCAGUCUCCUGAGUAGCUGAGAUUACAGGUGUGUGCUAUUGUGCAAAAUUAUCUUUUAUUAAACAUAUUUUCCUUUUAUUAUGACAUACUUUCACACUUCCAAUCAUGAUAUCUUCCAUCAAAUUUCAUUGAUAUUUAUGCUAUUGCAUUUAGCUCUUUGUGUGUAUUGUAUAUACUCUCAUAUAUAACUAUAAAUCCAUAUGUUCUAUAUGAUAGGUAUUAACACAACAAUCCAAGGAAACUUCUGUCUUUUUGGUACUAGGAAUUGAAUUGAACUCAGGAGCACUUUACUACUGAGCUACAUUCCAGUCCUUUUUUUUUUUUUUUUUCUUUGUGAGACAGGGUCUUGUUAAGUUGCUAAGGAUCUCAUAAAGUUGCUGAGGCUGACCUCAAACUUGGGAUCCUCCUCCCAAGUAGCUAACAGGCAUACACCACAAAAUCCAGCAAAGCCUUACAAGUUCCAUUUUACAAAUGAGAAUAGUGAGAGUUGAAAUAGUUAAAAGUAUCUUAAAGUCACCUCAGUUGGGCUAAGCCAGAACUAGAACUCAGAACUCUCUCAGAAUCUUUACUCUUUCCAUAGUAACAUCCUGGCAUUCAUGAGUACCGUUUCCAACUUUUCACCUCACAUUUUCCCCUGGGAAUUACUAAAUGCCUCCCCGAAAAUUCAUCUACUAAGUAUCUCCUAUGUGAGAGGUUUUGGUUUCAUUGUUGGCCAUAACAAUAAAAUAAACAACCCCUCUGCUCAAAGAACUCAGUCUAGAGGAGAAUGUAAAUUAUUAAUAUAGUGUGAUAAAUGCUACAAUAGAGGUAUGUGCUUUGUCUACUAUUCUGCAUCUUGUGUUCUUCAUGGAAUCCAGUUAUAUAAUUUUAUCUGCUAUUUUUCUCCCUUCUCCUUGAGUUUAAAAGCCCUCUUGAUGAGACCAACAAAUCUCCUGCCAAAUACAUUCUUCUAAUUCUUGUGAAAUUCAGAGGGUACAAAAGACUGGAAGUUUCCCAAACAGCAGAAAUGAUGAGCGAAGGUCUGAUCUAGAAAGGAAGAAGGUCUACUUAAGGACAAAAAGAUUCCUGAAGCUCUUGAUUUAAUCCCCAGCAACACACACACACACACACCUAGAAAUCACCUGAACCAGUGUAGUGAUUCACACCUGUAAUCCCGCCUACUGGGGAAGACGGACAGCCAAGUUUGAGGACAGCCUGGACAAUUUAGCAAGACCCUGAGUGGAAAUAAAAAUCAAAAGGGCUAGGGAUAUAGCUCAAUAUAGAGUGUCACUGAAUUCAAACCCCAGUACUGGGGGGGGGGGGCGAAUCCUGAUGAGAGCGAGUACUGGAAGGCUACUUUGAAAAUGAAGGUUGAUGCACUACAGAUUGCUCAAAAGGCCAGGCUGAGACACGUGCUCCAGUCACUAGGCAAAGAAGACCUAUUGUAUAUUAUCAACUCUGACUGAUAAGAUAAAAAUGUUAUUUUAAGAUUGGCUAUGCAGUGAUGCUUCAAAAAGGCUGAAAUUAGAAAGUUCUGAAGGUCAAAAGCUAAUAAAGCUCAACAAACACCUACUGAAAACUCACAUUCACCGAGGUAAGAAAAUGAAAGCCAGUCACUACUUUUGAAGUGCCUACCCAAUUAGGAGGGGAAACAAACAAACAAACAAAAAUAUAGUAAUGUAAAGUUUGGCACAGUGGCGCACACCUGUAAUUCCAGUUACUUGUGAGGCUGAGGAAGGGGGAUUUCAAGUUUGGGGCCAGUCUGGGCAAUUUAGCAAGACUCUGUCUCAAAAUAAAAAAAAGAGACUGAAGAUGAAGCUCAGCAGUAGUGCACCCAGUUCAAUUCUCAGUACUCAAAAAAAAA